CAACCAGAAAAACACCCAAACAGAUAACCGUUAACCCCACACAGGUGUGCUCUUAGGGAAAGACUAAAAGAAAGAGAAGGAACUCGGCAAACACACUCAGCCUCGCCUGUUACCAAAAACAUCGCCUCUUGCUAAACCAAAAGUAUAAGAGGUCCCGCCUGCCCUGUGACUAUAUGUUAACGGCCGCGGUAUUUUGACCGUGCGAAGGUAGCGCAAUCACUUGUCUCUUAAAUGGGGACCUGUAUGAAUGGCAUAACGAGGGCUUGACUGUCUCCUCUUUCAGGUCAAUGAAAUUGAUCUCCCCGUGCAGAAGCGGGGAUAGACACAUAAGACGAGAAGACCCUAUGGAGCUUUAGACACUAAAGCAGAUCAGCAUUAAUACCCCAAAUACGGGACACGAAUAAACUGAACCCUGCCCUAAUGUCUUAGGUUGGGGCGACCGCGGAGAAAUAAAAAACCCCCGCAAGGACUGAAUGUACUACAUUCACAACCAAGAGCGACAGCUCUAAUUAACAGAUAUUUCUGACCAAUAAGAUCCGGCAACGCCGAUCAAUGGACCAAGUUACCCUAGGGAUAACAGCGCAAUCUCCUCUUAGAGCCCGUAUCAACGAGGAGGUUUACGACCUCGAUGUUGGAUCAGGACAUCCUAAUGGUGCAGCCGCUAUUAAGGGUUCGUUUGUUCGACGAUUAAAGUCCUACGUGAUCUGAGUUCAGACCGGAGUAAUCCAGGUCGGUUUCUAUCUAUGUAAUGAUCUUUUCUAGUACGAAAGGACCGAAAAGAGGGGGCCCAUGUCAAAACAUGCCUCACCCCCACCUAAUGAAAGCAGCUCAAUCAGGCAAGGGGGCGUCGUCCCUUUGUCUGAGAGAACGACAAG
rnacentral:rRNA from 1 species